CCACAAGAUCAUGACCUAACCUGAAGUCGGAUGCUCAACCAACUGAGCCACCCAGGCACCCUCCCUAUCUGUAUCUUCUGAGGAAGCAAGCUAUGGGGCAACAACAAACUAUAUCAGGAAUUUGAAAUUCUGAGAUAACCUUGCCUGCCUUCCCAAAUCAUGUCAUAGCUUUUGCCCUUUCAACAAGACCAUAAAAGCAGAAAUUGACAUAAGAAAAUGUUACGGAAUUAAGACAAGUACGACCGGCAGCAUUCCGAGGUCGCCGCAAGAUGCGAUGCUUAAAACACUACCUGACUCAGUUUAUGUACCCAUGAAAUGGGUGGAUAGAUUUGAAAGGUUAAAAGCACCAAAAGGUGCCAUGUUAACAUGCAGCACCAAGUUAGUGCGAAAGCAUUUCAGACAAAUGACAAUUUGGUCGAUUUCACUGCAACUCAUCCCUUCACAGGCUUCAUUUUGCUCCUCAAAACCCACAACCUACAAACCCCUUGUACUUCCAGAGUAAAAAAGACAUGAAAGAAAGCAA